rnacentral:rRNA from 1 species
GACGAACGCUGGCGGCGUGCUUAACACAUGCAAGUCGAACGUGAUUUUUGUGGAAAUCUUUCGGGAAUGGAAAUGAAAUGAAAGUGGCGAACGGGUGAGUAACACGUGAGCAACCUACCUUACACAGGGGGAUAGCCGUUGGAAACGACGAUUAAUACCGCAUGAGACCACAGAAUCGCAUGAUAUAGGGGUCAAAGAUUUAUCGGUGUAAGAAGGGCUCGCGUCUGAUUAGCUAGUUGGAAGGGUAAAGGCCUACCAAGGCGACGAUCAGUAGCCGGUCUGAGAGGAUGAACGGCCGCAUUGGAACUGAGACACGGUCCAAACUCCUACGGGAGGCAGCAGUGGGGAAUAUUGCACAAUGGGGGGAACCCUGAUGCAGCGACGCCGCGUGAGCGAAGAAGGUUUUCGAAUCGUAAAGCUCUGUCCUAUGAGAAGAUAAUGACGGUAUCAUAGGAGGAAGCCCCGGCUAAAUACGUGCCAGCAGCCGCGGUAAUACGUAUGGGGCGAGCGUUGUCCGGAAUUAUUGGGCGUAAAGGGUACGUAGGCGGUUUUUUAAGUCAGGUGUGAAAGCGUGAGGCUUAACCUCAUUAAGCACUUGAAACUGGAAGACUUGAGUGAAGGAGAGGAAAGUGGAAUUCCUAGUGUAGCGGUGAAAUGCGUAGAUAUUAGGAGGAAUACCGGUGGCGAAGGCGACUUUCUGGACUUUUACUGACGCUCAGGUACGAAAGCGUGGGGAGCAAACAGG